rnacentral:rRNA from 1 species
UUUAUGGAGAGUUUGAUCCUGGCUCAGGAUGAACGCUGGCGGCGUGCCUAAUACAUGCAAGUCGAGCGAACGGACGAGAAGCUUGCUUCUCUGAUGUUAGCGGCGGACGGGUGAGUAACACGUGGAUAACCUACCUAUAAGACUGGGAUAACUUCGGGAAACCGGAGCUAAUACCGGAUAAUAUUUUGAACCGCAUGGUUCAAAAGUAAAAGACGGUCUUGCUGUCACUUAUAGAUGGAUCCGCGCUGCAUUAGCUAGUUGGUAAGGUAACGGCUUACCAAGGCAACGAUGCAUAGCCGACCUGAGAGGGUGAUCGGCCACACUGGAACUGAGACACGGUCCAGACUCCUACGGGAGGCAGCAGUAGGGAAUCUUCCGCAAUGGGCGAAAGCCUGACGGAGCAACGCCGCGUGAGUGAUGAAGGUCUUCGGAUCGUAAAACUCUGUUAUUAGGGAAGAACAUAUGUGUAAGUAACUGUGCACAUCUUGACGGUACCUAAUCAGAAAGCCACGGCUAACUACGUGCCAGCAGCCGCGGUAAUACGUAGGUGGCAAGCGUUAUCCGGAAUUAUUGGGCGUAAAGCGCGCGUAGGCGGUUUUUUAAGUCUGAUGUGAAAGCCCACGGCUCAACCGUGGAGGGUCAUUGGAAACUGGAAAACUUGAGUGCAGAAGAGGAAAGUGGAAUUCCAUGUGUAGCGGUGAAAUGCGCAGAGAUAUGGAGGAACACCAGUGGCGAAGGCGACUUUCUGGUCUGUAACUGACGCUGAUGUGCGAAAGCGUGGGGAUCAAACAGGAUUAGAUACCCUGGUAGUCCACGCCGUAAACGA